rnacentral:lncRNA from 1 species
AGAAUCUGGACUCCGAUUUCUGUCAGAAUUCACACUCCUGGCGGACAUACUCCCUGUGGUUUGUGUGGUGUUGAACAAGUCGUGGACCUCUCCCAGCCUCAGCUUCCAGAUCUGUAAAGUCAGACAAGAAUUGGACCCACCUCACAGGCUUGUUGGAGGAUCGCCCAGCUCUACGUCUUCUGAAGCACUCUGUGAACUCCCAAGCGCCUCGCAAACGGCAAGAAAAGCAUUAUCUUCAAUGCAGGAUUCUGCUUCCAGAAAUGGCCUAAAUCGUGGGGCUGGAAACAACAAGAAUCGAGCAAAUCCAAAUAACUCCCAGCUAACACUAGUAUGACAUUUGGUUAGGGAAAAUGUCCCAAGAGAAAUGUAAACUAUUUGAAAACAUCCUGUUACUAAAACUUGGACAUAAAAAGAAUGACAAAUGGACUGGACUCAACAACUUAAUUCUAAGCACGCAUGAGUUUGGCUCCCG